GGGGGAAUAUUGGACAAUGGGGGAAACCCUGAUGCAGCGACGCCGCGUGAGUGAAGAAGUAUUUCGGUAUGUAAAGCUCUGUCAGCAGGGAAGAAAGAAAUGACGGUACCUGACCAAGAAGCCCCGGCUAACUAC
rnacentral:rRNA from 1 species